UGGAAUAGAAAGUGAAAGUUUGAAUCUGACCUGCUUGUGAAAGACAAUCGCAUCUCAGCACAGAAGGAAGUCAUCAAAUUAAUUUCAAAAUUUGAAAGAAACAUUUAAACAAUGUCUUUUGUACAUGAACCUAAUGAAAAAAAAAACUCCUCACCAAUAAGAUAACUUGAAGGAAGAGCUUUGAGGAACAGAGAACUAUGGAUUCAGUAGGAGUGAAUGUGAUUGAAACAGCAGCUAUUGGAGACCUUUCCAGCUCGGCAUGCUGUAUGACUGCAGAAAGGACGAGUUAAUACCAGCAUCAUUACCCCAGUCCCUGAGAUGGCUCCUAUCUGACAGGUGACAGCAGAGCUGGCUCUGCUAAGUGAAAGACACGGGCUCACCAUGGGGAGUUGACCGUAGACAAAUACACACAUGGGACCACUCACGUGGAGGGGUCACGGC